GGUACAUUGCAAGCUCUCA
rnacentral:snRNA from 1 species